rnacentral:rRNA from 1 species
GAUGGGCCUGCGGGCCAUUAGCUAGUUGGCGGGGUAAUGGCCCACCAAGGCGAUGAUGGCUAGCUGGUCUGAGAGGAUGGCCAGCCACACUGGGACUGAAACACGGCCCAGACUCCUACGGGAGGCAGCAGUGGGGGAUCUUGCGCAAUGGGCGAAAGCCUGACGCAGCGACGCCGCGUGGGUGAUGAAGGCCUUCGGGUCGUAAAGCCCUGUCGAGGGGGACGAAACGGUACCGACCUAAUACGUCGGUGCCCUGACGGUACCCCUAAAGGAAGCACCGGCUAACUCCGUGCCAGCAGCCGCGGUAAUACGGAGGGUGCGAGCGUUGUUCGGAAUCACUGGGCGUAAAGGGCGUGUAGGCGGUCCGCUAAGUCUGGUGUGAAAGCCCGGGGCUCACCCCCGGAAGGGCACUGGAAACUGACGGACUCGAGUCCCGGAGAGGAGGGUGGAAUUCCCGGUGUAGCGGUGAAAUGCGUAGAUAUCGGGAGG